AGAGUUUGAUCAUGGCUCAGGAUGAACGCUGGCGGUAUGCUUAACACAUGCAAGUCGAACGAAAUCUUCGGAUUUAGUGGCGGACGGGUGAGUAACGCGUGAGAAUCUACUCUUAGAUUGGGGACAACAGUUGGAAACGACUGCUAAUACCGAAUGUGCCGAAAGGUAAAAGAUUUAUCGUCUGAGAAUGAGCUCGCGUUGGAUUAGCUAGUUGGAGUGGUAAUGGCACACCAAGGCGACGAUCCAUAACUGGUCUGAGAGGAUGACCAGUCACACUGGGACUGAGACACGGCCCAGACUCCUACGGGAGGCAGCAGUGGGGAAUUUUCCGCAAUGGGCGAAAGCCUGACGGAGCAAUACCGCGUGAGGGAGGAAGGCUCUUGGGUCGUAAACCUCUUUUAUUAGGGAAGAAGAUCUGACGGUACCUAAUGAAUCAGCAUCGAUUCCCCCC
rnacentral:rRNA from 1 species